AGCGAACGCUGGCGGCAGGCCUAACACAUGCAAGUCGAACGAACCUUUCGGGGUUAGUGGCGGACGGGUGAGUAACACGUGGGAACGUGCCUUUAGGUUCGGAAUAACGCAGGGAAACUUGUGCUAAUACCGAAUGUGCCCUUCGGGGGAAAGAUUAAUCGCCUUUAGAGCGGCCCGCGUCUGAUUAGCUAGUUGGUUGAGGUAAUGGCUCACCAAGGCGACGAUCAGUAGCUGGUCUGAGAGGAUGAUCAGCCACAUUGGGACUGAGACACGGCCCAAACUCCUACGGGAGGCAGCAGUGGGGAAUCUUGCGCAAUGGGCGAAAGCCUGACGCAGCCAUGCCGCGUGAAUGAUGAAGGUCUUAGGAUUGUAAAAUUCUUUCACCGGGGACGAUAAUGACGGUACCCGGAGAAGAAGCCCCGGCUAACUUCGUG
rnacentral:rRNA from 1 species